rnacentral:sRNA from 1 species
UCAUAGGUCCUCUCCGGCCUCACAGCCAAU